GUCUCAGGCCGUAUCAGCCUGAAGGCGCCCGAUCUCGUCUCGAUCUCGGAAGCUAAGCAGGGACGGGCCUGGUUAGGAUCUUGGUUGGGAGACCACCUGGGAAUCCCGGGUGCUCGAGGCU
rnacentral:rRNA from 1 species